CCACUUGGUCUGUGUCUGAUGCCAAUUAACCAAUAAAACCGUCCUCAUUCUGCUGCUGUGGGAAAUAAGCAACAGCAGAAAAGUAAUAAUGACUUUAAAGCAUAAUUCAGUUGUAAGCACAGCCAAGGAGACGGAAGAGAGACGAGUCCCUCAACAGCACUACGUCCCAGCGCUCUCCCCUGGGGGCGCUUGCCAGCUUCCCCUCCCCCACUCCCCUCCUCCCGCGGACGGGAGCAUUUGCCGGGAGCAGAAGGGGCGGACCCUGUACCGGGCGAGGAGCUGGAGGCGGGUCCCGGGGCUCGGGGGCGGUGCUCCCGGGAGUCGCGGAGCCGAUCUCUGGGCCUCCGGCGGGUGCUCGCGAACGCCGGAGCGUGCACGGAAGCGGUGAGCAGCUAGGAGGGAGCCGCCGAGCGGGCAGUCUAUCGGAGUGCUGGCAGGUCACCGGCUGCGCGCACGAUGAGACCCGGAGAGGAGCGGCCCGUGGAGGGGGGCGCCUGUGCCGGCGUCUCCGAGCUGGAGCUGCUGAAGCUGCGCGCCGCGGAGCGCAUUGACAAGGCGGCCGAGCGGCUGGGGGCCCUGAGCCGCGCGAUCUGGAGCGAGCCCGAGCUGGCCUACGAGGAGCACCGGGCCCACGGCGUGAUGACACGCUUCUUCGAGUGCGAGCCUCCGGCCGCCUCGUGGUCCGUGCAGCCGCACUACCACCUGGCCACGGCCUUCCGCGCCGAGUGGGGGCCGCCGGGGGUCGGCGCGGCGCCGCGCCCCCUGCAGCUGGGCUUCCUCUGCGAGUACGACGCGCUGCCCGGCAUCGGGCACGCCUGCGGCCACAACCUGAUCGCCGAGGUCGGGGCGGCGGCCGCGCUGGGCGUGAAGGGGGCCCUGGAGAGCCUCCCCGGGCCGCCUCCGCCGGUGAAGGUAAUUGUCCUGGGAACCCCUGCAGAAGAAGAUGGUGGUGGCAAAAUUGAUUUAAUUGAAGCAGGGGCUUUUAAAAAUCUUGAUGUUGUUUUUAUGGCCCACCCAUCCCAAGAGAAUGCUGCUUAUCUACCUGAUGUGGCUGAACAUGACGUGACUGUGAAAUACUACGGAAAAGCAUCUCAUGCUGCUGCAUAUCCCUGGGAAGGAGUAAAUGCAUUAGAUGCUGCUGUCCUGGCUUACAACAAUCUGUCCGUGUUGAGACAGCAAAUGAAACCAACCUGGAGAGUUCAUGGCAUAAUAAAAAGUGGUGGUGUAAAACCCAAUAUCAUUCCCUCUUAUUCUGAAUUAAUCUAUUACUUCCGUGCACCCUCAAUGAAAGAACUUCCAGUUUUGACCAAAAAGGCAGAAGAUUGCUUCAGAGCUGCAGCUUUGGCUACUGGGUGUACAGUAGAAAUUAAAGGUGGAGCACAUGAUUAUUACAAUGUUCUUCCCAAUAAGAGCCUCUGGAAAGCUUAUAUUGAAAACGGAAAAAAACUUGGAAUAGAAUUUAUUUCAGAAGAUGCAAUGUUGAAUGGCUCUUCAGGAUCUACUGAUUUUGGAAAUGUUACUUUUGUGGUUCCUGGGAUUCAUCCAUAUUUUUACAUUGGAUCUGAUGCCUUAAAUCAUACAGAACAAUAUACGGAAGCUGUAGGAUCACAGGAAGCUCAGUUCUACACUUUACGUACCGCCAAAGCUUUGGCAAUGACUGCAUUGGAUGUUAUUUUUAAACCAGAGUUGUUACAGAGAAUCAAAGAGGACUUUAAAUUGAAACUUCAAGAAGAGUUUUUAAAUACAGUAGAAUAAAAGGAAGAUCUAGGAGCCACUUACGGAUCAUUAAGAAGUGUCUGAAAGACACACUUGAGAUGUUCCUUACCUAAAGGGACUCUGGCGGGCACAGCUCUGCGGUCAAUCCAGAAGGACACCCAGGACAGCAUGACCAUCAGGGUGGCAGGAAAGUAAGUUUGGAGCAAGAAGAAGAAGAUGUGGCGUCGCAACGUGAAGUUAAUGUACAGACGGUUGUACCAGCCUGGGGGACACAGGAAGAAAAGAUCACACACACCAUAGCGACUCAGCUCCUGCACACAACCCAUUCUAUUCAGGGACUCAUAAACGCCUUAGACACUUCACUGGAAACUUGCCAUACCUUUACAGAGUGGAAGUGAGAAAAACCAUGGGAUAGAGUGAUUAUGAUAACCUACACCACAUGGGUGAGUCCCUCUCAAGACAUCUUUGGCCCCUGUCCUGUACGGAAAGGAAGCCCCUUGACAAGUCCAUUUAAGACUCUUGUUACUCAUCGUUUGGGGCAGAGUCCAGCAAUGUCACCAUCACUUGGCUGCUUGUUGGAAAUGCAGACUCUCAGCCCCACCCCAGAUCUACUGCAUCAUAAUCUCCUUUUUUAACAAUACUCUCCACAUGAUUUAUAUGCAUGAUAAAGUUUGAAAAACAUUUAUUUAAACAAGCCCCUUUAGAUUUCUUUAUGGAGGACAGUGAUUUAAAGUUGAAAUACCAAGCUAACCCAAACAUUGCAUUUAGGAACAGCGAACGAUCACAGAUGCAGCUAUGCUUUAGCUCUACCCUUGUGUUCUCUACAAGGAGGAAAUACGCAUGGAGGCGUUCAAAGGAACAAGAGAAAGAUGGAAGGAAAAGGAAAAAGCAGGAUAAACCGGGGAUGACGAGGACUGAACAUGAAAUGGAGACUUGGCAACACUAACUUGAAAGCCUGGCAUCUUGGACAAUCAUAAUGCAAUGGUUAUCAUCGUAAAGCAGUCGCAGAGAGAGACUGUGGAAGUGCUGUAGACUGAAUGUGUUCCGCCCCAAAUCUGUAUGUUGAAACCUAAUCCUCCAUGUGAUGGUAUUUGGAGGUGGGGCCUUCAGAAGUGAUUACAUCAUGAGUGGGAUUAGUGCCCCUCUAAAAGAGACCCCAGAUUGCUCCCUUGCGCCUUCCCCCAUGUGAGGACACAGCGAGAAGGUGGCUGUCUAUGAACUAGGAAGCAGGCUCUCAUCGGACACUGACUCUGCCAGCAUCUUGAUCUUGGACUUCCCAGCUUCCAGAACUGUGAGAAGUAAAUUUCUGUUGUUUAGAAGCCACCUGGUCUACGGUAUUUUGUGAUAGCAGCCCAAACAGACUAAGACAAGAGGAAGUGUCAGAAUGCUAAGGAUGAAGUGGGGGUCCCCCAAAAACCAAGACUCCUGAGUGAUGUGUACAGAAGAUGAGAUAUGCUGGAUUUCCGUGAUAUGCUGGGAAUAAAAGAGUGCCCCCUGUUACAGAUUAGAAGACUUAAAAGGUUGCACUUCCUGUGCAGUCAUGCAGUGUUUGGGCAAUAGAAACUACAUAAAGAGGGGCGCCUGGGUGGCUCAGUCGGCUAAGCAUCUGACUCUUGAUCUCAGCUCAGGUCUUGAUCUCAGGGUCAUGAGUUCAAGCCCUGCGUUGGGCUCCACGCUGGGCAUGGAGCUACAGGCAGGAAGGAAGGAAGGAAGGAAGGAAAGAAAGAAAGAGAAAGAAGAAAGAAAAAGAAAGAAAGAAAGAAAAAGAAAAGAAAGAAAGAAAGAAAAGAAAGAAAGAAGAAAGAAAGAAAGAAAGAAAGAAAGAAAGAAAGAAAGAAAGAAAGAAAGAAAGAAAGAAAGAAAGAAAGAAAGGAAGGAGGGGGAAGGAAGGAGGAAGGAAGGAAGGAAGGAAGGAAGAAAGGAGAGAGGGAGGGAGGGAGGAAGGAAGGAAGGAAGAAAGAAAGAAAGGAAAAAAGGAAGGAAGGAAGGAAGAAAGAAAGAAAGAAAGAGAGAGAGAGAGAAAGAAAGAAAAAAAGAAAGAAAGAAAGAAAGAAAGAAGAAAGAAACUACAUAAAGAUUUGAAUAAUAUCAUCCUGAAGGGUGAUUAGUCAAGACCGAGGCUUCCGGGUGCUCCUACCCAGGAUAAAAUCACAGUGAGUCCCCCAGAAAGGACCACGCCCUCUGGUGCUGCCACAUCCUGACCCUCGCCUACUUUAGGUGAGCACACACGUUGACUCCAGGUGAGCAAACCUACCUGCAGCCUGGACAGAACGGAGGUAAAACCUAACAGUGGCCAGUCCAGUCUGCUCACGUGUUAAACAGUUCUUUCUGGAGCUCCCGGAUGCCCUGUUUCAUGCCUCUGUUUUAUUCUAUGUCUUACCCUUGACCUGUGUGACGGUUGGUUUCAUGUAUCCACUUGGCUGGGCUAGAGUACCCAGUUAAUCAAUCAAACACUAAAUUAGGUGUUGCUCUGAAGAUGCUUUGUGGACGGGAUGCCUACAACCAGUUCACUUGAAGUAAAGGAGAUGAUCCAGGAUAACGUGGGUAGGCCUGAUCCAAUCAGUUGAAAAGCCUUAAGAGCAGACCUGAGGUUUCCCCAAGAAGAAGAAAUUCUGCGCGUGGAGGGCAGGCUCAGGUCCCACCCGGGGGUUCCCAGCCUGCCCUUCCCGCCAGCCUGCCCUUCCCGCCAGCCCGCCCUGCGGAUGGCAGACUUACCUCACCAGCCCCCACGCUCGUGCAAGCCAAUUCCUUGCACUCAAUAUCUCUUACUAUGUAUCUCCAAUAUUCUGCUUCUCUGUGCAUCCUACCUGAUGAAACCUGGAAGACGCUCCAUUCCCAAUGGAGCUGCCUGGGUGUACUAGGGAAAGCAGGGUACUGGAGCCAAUGAGUUAAGUCCUUAGUGCUAUGUCCUCAGGCAAGUUACAUCCUUCCAUGUAUAAUGGAGAUAACAGUAACCUUCUUCCAGGAUCUGGUGAGGAUGAGAUGACAGCAGGUGGAAAGCUACUAUGGUGUUGGUCCAGGGAUUUAUUACUCCCUCGGUCCUGGGAUUUAUUACUCCCUUUUCCCACAGUCAGUGCCCUAUGGAGCUGUCCAUUUGACCCCUGCAUCAACAUCCCUGCCCUCCUUGGCCCCAGAUGGCUGGGGCCAGGGGAUCCCUGACUCAUUGCCACAAAUGCAGGCAGGCUUACAAAGGUGCACUGUGUCAAAGAGAUUCUUCACUAGGGCUUGGUCACCAGCCAGGAAGGGCCAGUGGGCGUGUGCUGGUAUUCACUUGGAGGAGUGGGCCAGCAGGAGUUAUGGGGGAGUCCAGACUGUGCCCACCAGAGGAAGCAUUUGGGCAAAGAUUGAAAAAGAGAGCAGUUGUGUAGAGAGCUGGAGAUGCAAGUGAGCAGUCCUCGACGCUGCCUCAGUCUUGCUCUUCCUGGCUCUUAACCUGUGCAGGGCGUCCGUGUGUGCAAGUGUCCUGAGGCCCCUCAGUUGUGCCUGAGGCUCUCUAGCACCACCUAUGUUCACCUUGGCAGUUCCCUCGGGCAAUUGUUACCAAACUUGUUUUUGCCAAGAGAUCUUUUUUUUUUUUAAAGAUUUUAUUUAUUUAUUUGAGACAGAGAGAAUGAGAGACAGAGAGCAUGAGAGGGAGGAGGGUCAGAGGGAGAAGCAGACUCCCUGCCGAGCAGGGAGCCCGAUGCGGGACUCGAUCCUGGGACUCCAGGAUCAUGACCUGAGCCGAAGGCAGUCGCUUAACCAACUGAGCCACCCAGGCGCCCAAGAAAUCUUUUUUUCAACAGAAAUCUUAUUCAGAGGAACAAUAAAACAGAUCAAAAAUGAGCUCACGCAUUGGACGGCAGGUAGAAAUAGCUGCACAAGGAGACACACAUUUGCUGAGCCCUCUACCCCCCUCCCCAGCAGUUGCCCGGGUUCCCGCAGAACCAAGUUUAAAACCAUUGCCAUAGAGCAUUUAAAAGGGUCAAUUAUGGGAACAGAGGUUUUAGUUUCAAAUUUGUUCCUAAUUUUCAAAAUUACCCUGCACUUGGCUUUAAUCUAAAAAAAAAAAAAAAAUCGCUUGAAAAAAACACGAGCCAUGAAUGAGGAGCACAUGCUGUUCCUGCUACUGAGAGUUAGCGGUGUUGGGAAUCACUCGCCAUCUGUGUGCUGAUGUCCUGGACAGUCUACUCACAGCUUUCAAUUUCAAGGGAGCACGUUUGUGUGUCCAGGGGAAAUCGGCUGAAGUCCAUGUUGCACAUUGCAGUCACUGUAACCCUAGAAACAAAAAGACAAAAUACAAAUUUUCAGAGGCUGCAAAAUGAUGAACAGAAAAAGGCUCUGCUUCCUUCCAAUAUAACUGCCUCCUUAUAAUUCAUAAGCCAAGUGUCAAGAUUUAGAUAGUCAUUGUAGUACUCUGGGUUUUAUGUUUAACUCCAGAGUGUCUCUACCAACUUCUAUCAGAUUCAAGCAUAUUAACGAAGCAAUGGUCUCAAUCGAUAUAAAAAUGGGAAAUAAAAACUCUUAUGACAUUGUUUCUUAAAAGAAACCAUAGGACCAUAUAUUGUUCUCUGGUUUUAGAUAAAUUCCAAUUUUUUCUGUUCUUUUAUUGAUUUUACCCAUAUUCAAUAUUUGUAUACAACAUAUCAGAAAUAAUAUUAAUGAAACCCUUCUGCCAGUGGCCAAAUUGGGCACUUUUUUUUUACAAUGUUGAUAUAUUUAUAUUGAUAAUAAUUAUCUCCUAGUGGGCAUUGGUGUUUUUAGUGGAUAAUUCCAUGGAGAUCAUAGGGUAAUGAAAAGACACUGAAAACUUUUUUGUACCAGCAUGCAAGCACUUGCUGGCCUCUGAUGGUUUUGUUUCAGAGUUUACACAGGAAAAUGGGCUUCUGCAUCAAAGAAUAAAUAAACACAGAUCAUGAGUCACAGACGAAAGAUCUCCUGUCCCGUGGGGAAUCUCAUGGCAGGACAUGAAUAACAGUUAUUGGCUGAUACUGAACAAACUAUUUUUCCUUCAACCACAAAAAAAUUGCUAUGUAUAAGUUGUAGAAACUGUCUGGAUGAUUCAUGGCCAAAAGGGAAAAAAAAAUCACUUUUAAUUGAAAUGGAAAUUUCAAGGGAAAGAGCUUUCUUGAAACUGAAUUAUCCAAAUAUCUGCUUUAUUUUCCCCAUUCCAGUUGAGUCUGGCAUAGUUGUAAUCUGAAAAGGAUUGUCUAUUGCUGGCAGCUGGGUAGCCUUAUCUCCUCUGGAAAUCCUGAUAAACAGGGUGGAUUGAGUGGGGAGGAGUCAGGAUGGCAGCUGGACCCCUCAUGGGUGGGCUUCUGUUUCUACUAUACCUAAUGGCAUCCCCAGCAAGAAAGAAACUAGAACCUAAGUUUGGUGACUUAGAGCUAAUGAAAUCUCAAAUGUAGGAAGUUUUUGCUAUCAACAAAAGGAUUGAAUAUCUCUUCUCUUUGCAUUAGGAACAGAUAUUUUUAGAAUCACAGAUAUCAGACUGGUUCUUUGCACCCUGACCUGAUGUUUUUCCAACUUGUAACUCACACACCACACAUUAAGCACAGUUUGUGGUUUAGUCCAUACUAUGUUUAUUUUUGUUUCCCCAUGUCUCUUUAAAUUGAUUUAUUGGGGUGCAUCUGGAUGGCUCAGUCGGUUAAGUGUCCGACUCGUGAUUUCAGCUCAGGUCAUGAUCUCAGGGUAGUGAGAUCGAGCCCUACAUUGGGCUCUGCGCUGGGUAUGGAGCCUGCUUAAGAGCCUUGGGAGAGAGUUGUGGGCAUGCCAUGAACCUGACAAAUCUUUUCCUCUGCCCACAAUCAAGGCAUCUUUUUUUUUUUUCACUUAAAUCAAACAAACCUAUGAUUUCA